GCAUAUCAAUAAGCGGAGGAAAAGAAACCAACAGGGAUUGCCCCAGUAACGGCGAGUGAAGCGGCAACAGCUCAAAUUUGAAAUCUGGCCCCUAGGGUCCGAGUUGUAAUUUGUAGAGGAUGCUUUUGGUGAGGUGCCGCCCGAGUUCCCUGGAACGGGACGCCGCAGAGGGUGAGAGCCCCGUCUGGCUGGCCACCGAGCCUCUGUAAAGCUCCUUCAACGAGUCGAGUAGUUUGGGAAUGCUGCUCAAAAUGGGAGGUAUAUGUCUUCUAAAGCUAAAUAUUGGCCAGAGACCGAUAGCGCACAAGUAGAGUGAUCGAAAGAUGAAAAGCACCUUGAAAAGAGGGUUAAACAGUACGUGAAAUUGUUGAAAGGGAAGCGC
rnacentral:rRNA from 1 species